rnacentral:tRNA from 1 species
GGUCGGAUGGCUGAGAGGCUUAGGCAGCGGUCUGCAAAACCGUCUACACCGGUUCGAAUCCGGUUCCGACCUCCA